rnacentral:misc_RNA from 1 species
GAUGAAGAACGCAGCGAAAUGCGAUAAGUAAUGUGAAUUGCAGAAUUCAGUGAAUCAUCGAAUCUUUGAACGCACCUUGCACCCUUUGGCAUUCCGAAGGGUAUGCUCGUUUGAGUGUCAUUGUACUCUCACACUUCCGAUCAUUGGAUUGGGAGCGGUGGACUUGGGUGUUGCUGCUUACUGUGGCUCACCUCAAAUCGAUUCGUGCACCUCUUGGUUGGACAUAGUACGGCGUGAUAAGUGUCUUCGCCGGCACCUCAGUAGAGGGUGGCUGAUCGGGAGCUCUGCUUCAAACCGUCCUCGGACAACAACUGACAACUUGACCUCAAAUCGAGUAGGACUACCCGCUGAACUUAAGCAUAUCAAUAAGCGGAGGA